rnacentral:rRNA from 1 species
GAUCCUGGCUCAGGAUGAACGCUAGCUACAGGCUUAACACAUGCAAGUCGAGGGGCAGCAGGACGAUAGCUUGCUAUUGUUGCUGGCGACCGGCGCACGGGUGAGUAACGCGUAUCCAACCUUCCCCUUAGUAGGGCAUAGCCCGUAGAAAUGCGGAUUAAUACCCUAUGUUGUUCGAUGCGGACAUCUAAGUUGAACCAAAGGUUUACCGCUAAGGGAUGGGGAUGCGUCUGAUUAGGCAGCAGGCGGGGUAACGGCCCACCUGGCCUACGAUCGGUAGGGGUUCUGAGAGGAAGGUCCCCCACAUUGGAACUGAGACACGGUCCAAACUCCUACGGGAGGCAGCAGUGAGGAAUAUUGGUCAAUGGGCGAGAGCCUGAACCAGCCAAGUAGCGUGCAGGAUGACGGCCCUAUGGGUUGUAAACUGCUUUUAUGCGGGGAUAAAGUGCGGCACGUGUGCCGUUUUGUAGGUACCGCAUGAAUAAGGACCGGCUAAUUCCGUGCCAGCCGCAGC